rnacentral:rRNA from 1 species
AGUGAACGCUGGCGGUAGCCCUAACACAUGCAAGUCGAACGGCAGCACAGUAAGAGCUUGCUCUUACGGGUGGCGAGUGGCGGACGGGUGAGGAAUACAUCGGAAUCUACUUUUUCGUGGGGGAUAACGUGGGGAAACUUACGCUAAUACCGCAUACGACCUACGGGUGAAAGCAGGGGAUCUUCGGACCUUGCGCGAUUGAAUGAGCCGAUGUCGGAUUAGCUAGUUGGCGGGGUAAAGGCCCACCAAGGCGACGAUCCGUAGCUGGUCUGAGAGGAUGAUCAGCCACACUGGAACUGAGACACGGUCCAGACUCCUACGGGAGGCAGCAGUGGGGAAUAUUGGACAAUGGGCGCAAGCCUGAUCCAGCCAUACCGCGUGGGUGAAGAAGGCCUUCGGGUUGUAAAGCCCUUUUGUUGGGAAAGAAAAGCAGCAGGUUAAUACCCCGCUGUUCUGACGGUACCCAAAGAAUAAGCACCGGCUAACUUCGUG